UGGGGAAUUUUGGACAAUGGGGGCAACCCUGAUCCAGCAAUGCCGCGUGUGUGAAGAAGGCCUUCGGGUUGUAAAGCACUUUUGUCCGGAAAGAAAACGCCGUGGUUAAUACCCGUGGCGGAUGACGGUACCGGAAGAAUAAGCACCGGCUAACUACGUGCCAGCAGCCGCGGUAAUACGUAGGGUGCAAGCGUUAAUCGGAAUUACUGGGCGUAAAGCGUGCGCAGGCGGUCCGCUAAGACAGAUGUGAAAUCCCCGGGCUUAACCUGGGAACUGCAUUUGUGACUGGCGGGCUAGAGUAUGGCAGAGGGGGGUAGAAUUCCACGUGUAGCAGUGAAAUGCGUAGAGAUGUGGAGGAAUACCGAUGGCGAAGGCAGCCCCCUGGGCCAAUACUGACGCUCAUGCACCGAAAGCGUGGGGGAGCAAACAGGAUUAGAUACCCUGGUAGUCCACGCCCU
rnacentral:rRNA from 1 species